AGAUCUUCACGAUGUUGUCCUCUGACAGGAGGAUGUUACGAGCUGCCAGAUCCCGGUGAAUACACUGCACGCACACACACACACACACCGUGAAGCAGUC